CUCAAUAUGAUCAUGAUUCGAUUACGAUUGAGGCUUUCAGUGCAUCACAGCAUGGAAUUGUCGUGUCUUGCUCUGCUGGGAAUGCAGGACCAGGUCCAUGUCCAUACACUGCUGUUAAUAUUGCUCCAUGGAUUCUUACUGUUGGUGCUUCAACAAUUGAUAGAGAGUUUCCCCACAAACAAAUUGCACAGAGGUUAAGCAACAUUCGAUAUUAGUGAUUCUCCAAGAAUAUAAAGAGUACAAAAACUUCUCUCAAGUGCUGAAAAUAAACAGAAAAUAGGUUAAAGUUUGGUUGAGGCAUUUUAUCGAACAUGUUGAAAUCUGAAUAAGAUUAAAGCUAAAAUGAAGAUCAAGCCAGAAAACUGGGGCAUAAAGCAGUGAACCUGGAGAAGUAAAAGGAAAAGCGAAGAAAGAAGCUUGAGAAUAUAUACCUGUUGUUGCUGCUUGGUUUGAUGACUUGAAGAAGAGAUCCUCAAACAUGGUUCUGCAUAAUUGUUUAAAAUCACGAUUUGGGCUUAGGGUCCCAGAAGAUCAUGCUCUCAAUUAGAAGCCAUUAGUAGAAAACAAGUUGUAACUGCGAGGACAAAAGAAAGCUUAAUUGUUCUGUAUUUGUGGCUUUGUGCGUUUUGAUUUG
rnacentral:lncRNA from 1 species